UUUUUCCGUUUUAGCUUCGGUUGUCAUAGGCUGUGCUGUCGCUUUCUCUGGGAAAGGACGGUGAAGACUGGACGGGAGAAACCGGGAGGGCAGGCGCGGCCGUUCUGCAGCAGCCGGGCCGCUUCCCGGCGGGAGGCGGGCUGCGAAUGGGAAGCGGGAGGAGGAGGCCGGGCCGCGGGCUGGUUCUAUCACCCCCUUGGGAGCCCAGCUCUUCACCUAGCUCUCCGGCGCUUUUCAAAAUCUGCAGUUAACAACAAAAAUCGAGCAACGCCACGUCGCACAAACAGGACAGGAGGGGGCGAGGGGCCAGGCUCGCCGCGGGGCGCUGAGCAGGCCGGGACACCGCGGCCGAGGUUAUCGUUAGGCAUCUCCCAGGCGACCGGCUCCGCAGCAAGAUGGCGGACGAGAAGGACAGGGAAGGUGAUUUGUAUGUACAUUAACUUUCGAGAAGGCCGGGCGCGGUGGCUCACGCCUGCAAUCCCAGCACUUUGGGAGGCUGAGGCGGGCGGAUCACGAGGUCAAGAGAUCGAGACCAUCCUGGCCAACAUGGUGAACCCCGUCUCUACUAAAAAUACAAAAAUUAGCUGGGCGUGGUGGCACGCCCUGUAGUCCCAGCUACUCAGGAGGCUGAGACAGGAGAAUUGCUUGAACCGGGGAGGCGGAGGCUGCAGUGAGCCAAGAUCACACCACUGCACUCCAGCCUGGCGACAGAGUAAGACUCCGUCUCAAAAAAAAAAAAAAACAAAAACAAAAAACAAAGUUCGAGAAGCACUCAUGUGCUGUAUCUCAUUUAUUGUUAACAGUUUUAUGGAUUAACUAAUUGCAGUUUGUGAAGGGUAUUAUGAAAUAAAGGCAUUUUGUUAGAGGAUAAACUAAGUAGAGACUCAUUUUGGUGGUAAGAUCUUUUUAUGGAAAUAGUCUAUUACUAUAUUUGAUUGUCAGCUACUGUAUUUUGAAUUUUCAGAAAUUACGUCUAACCAAUUAAUCAGAAUUGAUUAAGUUUUGAGGAUUCACUCAACUAAACUCAUAAAAGACUGAUGUGCAAACCUGAAUGAUUUAUUAAUUUAAAUAAGGGUAUAUACAUUGACUUGAAGGCUG
rnacentral:lncRNA from 10 species